AGCAGCCGCGGUAAUUCCAGCUCCAAUAGCGUAUAUUAAAGUUGCUGCAGUUAAAAAGCUCGUAGUUGAAUUUCGGGACCAUCAUGUUGGUCGUGCCUCGGUACGUACUGGCAUUGUUGGUUUCUCCCUUCUGACGAACCAUGAUGUCAUUUAUUUGGUGUUGUGGGAAAUCAGGACUGUUACUUUGAAAAAAUUAGAGUGUUUAAAGCAGGCUCACGCUUGAAUACAUUAGCAUGGAAUAAUGAAAUAGGACGUUUGAUUCUAUUUUGUUGGUUUCUAGGAUCGACGUAAUGAUUAAUAGGGAUAGUUGGGGGCAUUAGUAUUCAAUUGUCAGAGGUGAAAUUCUUGGAUUUAUUGAAGACUAACUACUGCGAAAGCAUUUGCCAAGGAUGUUUUCAUUAAUCAAGAACGAAAGUUAGGGGAUCGAAGACGAUCAGAUACCGUCGUAGUCUUAACCAUAAACUAUACCGACUAGGGAUCGGAUGAUGUUAAUUUUUUAAUGACUCAUUCGGCGCCUUAC
rnacentral:rRNA from 1 species